CAGCCGCCACGGUAAUACGAAGGGUGCAAGCGUUACUCGGAAUUACUGGGCGUAAAGCGUGCGUAGGUGGUGGUGUAAGGCAGGUGUGAAAUCCCCGGGCUUAACCUGGGAACUGCGCUUGUGACUGCACAGCUAGAGUAUGGCAGAGGGGGGUGGAAUUCCACGUGUAGCAGUGAAAUGCGUAGAGAUGUGGAGGAACACCGAUGGCGAAGGCAGCCCCCUGGGCCAAUACUGACGCUCAUGCACGAAAGCGUGGGGAGCAAACAGGAUUAGAUACCCCCGUAGUCCCUGUCUCUUAUAC
rnacentral:rRNA from 1 species